rnacentral:rRNA from 1 species
CAGAUAUGACGAUGGACAUUGCAAAGAGUGGCGAACGGGUGAGUAACACGUGGGAAACCUACCUCUUAGCAGGGGAUAACAUUUGGAAACAGAUGCUAAUACCGUAUAACAAUAGCAACCGCAUGGUUGCUACUUAAAAGAUGGUUCUGCUAUCACUAAGAGAUGGUCCCGCGGUGCAUUAGUUAGUUGGUGAGGUAAUGGCUCACCAAGACGAUGAUGCAUAGCCGAGUUGAGAGACUGAUCGGCCACAAUGGGACUGAGACACGGCCCAUACUCCUACGGGAGGCAGCAGUAGGGAAUCUUCCACAAUGGGCGAAAGCCUGAUGGAGCAACGCCGCGUGUGUGAUGAAGGGUUUCGGCUCGUAAAACACUGUUGUAAGAGAAGAAUGACAUUGAGAGUAACUGUUCAAUGUGUGACGGUAUCUUACCAGAAAGGAACGGCUAAAUACGUGCCAGCAGCCGCGGUAAUACGUAUGUUCCAAGCGUUAUCCGGAUUUAUUGGGCGUAAAGCGAGCGCAGACGGUUAUUUAAGUCUGAAGUGAAAGCCCUCAGCUCAACUGAGGAAUUGCUUUGGAAACUGGAUGACUUGAGUGCAGUAGAGGAAAGUGGAACUCCAUGUGUAGCGGUGAAAUGCGUAGAUAUAUGGAAGAACACCAGUGGCGAAGGCGGCUUUCUGGACUGUAACUGACGUUGAGGCUCGAAAGUGUGGGUAGCAAACAGGAUUAGAUACCCUGGUAGUCCACACCGUAAACGAUGAGUGCUAGGUGUUUGAGGGU